rnacentral:rRNA from 1 species
AUUAUAGAAACACUAAGGUAGUAUCAAAAAGAAAAACCUAUAUGGCUUGACGGUUAUGAUUAAUUAGAGAAACUCGCCCCAUAAUCGUAAACACUCGUUAAUUUUUACCUGAUCUCAAAGCCUAUAUACCGCCGUCACAAAGCCCAAAUCAAAAAACACAACAAAAAAAACACAUUUAAAAAAUCAGGUCAAGGUGUAGCCCAUGAUCAGCUAGUGAGGGUAAGUUACAUUAAAAACUAUUUAAGGAAUAGCAUUACAAAUUAAUAUAGGAAAGAGAAUCUAAUCGUACAAAUUAAUCAAAAAUUAUAAUCGAUCAACACAAUCAUAAUGC